ACAAGGAAACUAACCUGAGGCAGGACCGUGGCACUGAAGGAGUCUCCCUGGAUGCAGCAAAGGUGGAGACCUUGUCCAAGAAAAAUGCUGGACGGGCCUUUACCCCAAAGAGGAAAGCUGGGUCAUGGAACAAGGAAAUGAAUUACAUCAAGUGAAAAUGCACAUCUGAUGCCCAGUCCAGACCAAGCACGUCUGUUCCUGCUGACUUCGAAUGAUUGUCAAGUGGCUGGACUCAGAUGUUAGCCGUCUGUCAUUGCUGCUAAUAACAUAUUCAUGUACAAAAACAACAGAGGGGUAUCUAGGCAGCUGGAGCCCUCUGUGUUCCGGACUACAGAUUCGGGGACCCAAAGGGCACCAGAGCACGAGGGAGGGGAACAUGCAGAGAGAGGGGCAUUGCCCAGAGAUGACUGUGCAGCAGGACACCAAAGGUGCAUGAGCAGAAAGAUUUGGUGCCAAACCUCCGCAGGCAUGAAGAUAAUGUCAUCUCACUCAGUGAAGCUGUAAAGAGAAUAAUUUAUCAAGCAGAGAAUGGUUUCGAUACUUUUAAAUCUGACGUACACAGGAGCACAUACCAGUGAGACUAUUCUAGUCUGUAAAACAGUGAAAUGAUUUCAUCCUGGUUAGUAAAUAGCCCUAGCAACAAGAAGCUUGGAAAUUCCACCCUGGCUGCCCACCCCUGUCCCAGAUCACAAGGUCCCCUACAGGCCAACAUCAGGAGGUUGAAGACCUAGCCCAGCCAGAGUCUAUCAGGAGCCUGCCCAACAGCUCUGUCCCAGCUUUUUCUAAUUGGUCAGUGCCCAUGCCAUGUCAAUGGCCGCUUAAUAUUGUGAUUAUUAGCCCUGGAUACUUCCACAGCAACUUACACAGAAGGGGACUGGAAUGACUCGGAAUGUGAAAAAUAACAAUAGGAUGCAGAAACCCAGAAAACUCUAAACGGGCAAAACUGCAUGCCGGACUCCCGAUGUGCUGCCUUUCUGAGCUACGGGCAGCCUGUCAUCCCUGGGACCCAACAUUUCCAUCAUUCAUUGUCUCCAAGGCCGAAGCCCUUCUCUUUUUACUACCUAGUGGCACCAGCCCUAGCUCUCUCUCUGAUUACUGCCCAAGAUUUGAGGAAAUUUGAUGGCCGCUGCCAUCACAUUCAUCACUCUAUUUCCUCCGAUGUAUUGGCUCUGUGGCCAGUAGUUGUCAAUGAAGUUGUCAUGGCUUCAUGGCACCAGAUUUGAGGCAAGCUUUGUAAAUGCCAGCAAGUUUUCUGCCAACCAUGCAUUGUCAUAACAAGAAUGAUGCAGUAAACAAAUAAUCAUACGACAGAGACGUUCAAAACUAGGGCUCAGGGUACAUACGGAGCUUUGAUCUUCCUAAGAGAAUAAGAACAAGUUCAUUCCACUCACAGUUCACUCACAAGCUGGAAAUAAUCUACGUUAGUCCAAGUUGCAGGUCCAGUGUAUCCCCUUGGCUCUGGAGGAGUUUAAGAAGAAAGGGUCAGGGGUCCCGGGUUCUGGUCUUGCUAUUUGCCUGAUGUUGGACUCUGGAUGAGUCACUCACCCUCUCGAUAUGUCUCUUUCCUUGGUUGGCUGAUGGAUACAUGAUAUGGUUCCAGCUUCCCGAAAGGAUUGUUGUGUGAGGGUAGGGGUCGAAUGAGAGAAAGGAUGUGAAAAGCUACAGGAAACCAAAUUAUCUACAAAGAUGAGAGGUUACUGUGAAAUGUGUAACAUUCACUUGCAGUAGAUAAAUUCUGAGCUCCAGACCCAAAGUCCCCAGGAACUGUGAGUAUAAAGGUGAGAUAAAGCCAAUGCAGAAGGGACUCUAUUAAGAACAUAAGCUUGAAAGCAGUGUUUUACACAUUGAGAACUUAAAUGUGAAAACAGGCAUUUUCAAGACCUUAGAAACAGAGAGGGGGAAAAAAAAAAGCAGACCACUGCCUUGCAUUGUAGAGUAAAAGAGAACUGACCGGGCCAGGCACAGUGGCUCACGCCUGUAAUCACAGGACUUUGGGAGGCCAAGGUGGGCGGAUCACCUGAGGUCAGGAGUUCGAGACCAGCCUGACCAACACGGAGAAGCCCCGUCUCUACUAAAAAUACAAAAUUAGCCGGGCAUGGUGGCACAUGCCUGUAAUCUCAGCUACUGAGGAGGCUGAGGCAGGAGAAUCGCUUGAACCCAGGAGGCAGAGGUUGUGGUGAGCUGAGAUAGCGCCAUUGCACUCCUGCCUAGGCAACAAGAGCAAAACUCCAUCUCAAAAAAAAAAAAAAAAAAAAAAAAAAAGAGAACUGACCGAGAGAUUUCCCCCUUCACUCAGAUAGAUUCUUUGGUGAGUAAAGUCUAAAAAUAAUAAUUAAAAAUUCUUGGUUAUAUUCUAUUUUAUCCUAUAGACAUUUACUUAACGAUGCCAUGAGAUAGCCUCCUUAUAGUCCUUUUUUCUUCCCCUGCAUUUCUUCUCUUUCCUCUUGAGGGGAUGGGUCUGCUAGCACUGUCUACAAGGCUGGGAGGCAAAGCUUUCAGAAAGACUGAUUUUGGCUUUAGUACCCAGAGCCUUCUAGCAAGGUUUGCCUGGGCAUCUGUUUCUGCAGACCUCCAGGGGCCCUCUGGCUGAAAUAGUCGUGCUUAACUUAAGUGUUCAGGCUCCAGAGAUGCUACAGCUCCUUCUGUGAUCUUAGAUGAGAAAACUCACGAUAGAAGGAAAUUGAAUCGUUUGCUCAAGAUUAAAUACUGGCCAAGUUCAGACCAAGCACCUUGUCAACAUGGGCAAAACUUCAAAAUUUUCUUCAGAGUCACGCACUGAGAAACAGUUUAUGGAUAAAGUAAGCUUUAUAAACAAUUCCCCAAAGACAUUGGACUGUGCCUUAAAGAGAAAAAUGAGGAUCAAUGAGGACGGAGACUCUGCACAGGACAUUGAUUACGCAUGCCUGAAGACUGUUAUUUGAAAUCCUUCUGAUGUGUCACUGUUAGGACGACAGUGAUCACUACAUGCUAAUAUUUGUUAAAUGCCAGGAAUUCCUUCAGACACUAUUAGAGAAGGGCAAGGAAGAUUCUCGAGGGCUAAUCAAGCUCUUAGAGAAUUCAGUUAGUAGUGACCAUUUGCAAUACUGCAAUUGCAAUACUGUGCUCUCCAGUGAGCUGACAAGGCCAGCCAAGGCAAAGUGGAGAGGAAGUGGUGCUUUGUGGCAGAGGACCUAGAAUCAGUACCUGGUGUCUCUACCUCCAUGGGCACACGGCCAGUCCUAGGCUAUCACGAAGAAGCAAUGGUACUCAAUGUUCCUUAAGAAACAACAUCCUUAAUGUGAGAAAAUAAAAAGCCAUUGGAAACCUCUACUUGCUCUGAGCAGGCCAUUUUCUAAAAGCAACUUUGGUAUAUAACUUUGUAUAAUUAGGUAUGUUUUGGGGGGUUGUCUUGCCAUUACUUCCUUCAGUCCAUUAAUAUGGAUAAAGCAUCUCUCACCACACCAUCAGCUUAAACUGUUGAAUCCUGCCUAAUAGCCUGAGCCAAGUUAAUGGAUGAAGUCCCUGGAGAAUUUUUCAGGUGAAGGAGAAGCAGGAGGCUGCUACCCAAGAGAAGACAGAGGUGUUAAAGCUGCUUUUUUGUUUUGUGUUUUUACCUCAAUGCAGUAUAAAAUCAACAUUUAAGAUACAGAUAAAAUUCUUUAUAUAAUUAGCUUAGACCGUAAUAUCCUUCUAAUUGUCACUUUUCUAUGAAACCGUCUUUAACCAUUUAUUUGCCUUUAUGGUACUUAAUCACGUUGGCCCACUCCUUACAAAUUUCAGUAAUGAUUCCAAAUCAGUACAGUAAGGAA
rnacentral:lncRNA from 1 species